rnacentral:rRNA from 1 species
GAGUGGCGCACGGGUGAGUAACGCGUGGGAACCUAUCCCGGGGUGGGGGAUAACCACUGGAAACGGUGGCUAAUACCGCACGAUCCCUGAGGGGCAAAGCAGCGAUGCGCCCUGGAGGGGCCCGCGUCCGAUUAGCUAGUUGGCGGGGUAAGAGCCCACCAAGGCGGUGAUAGGUAGCUGGUCUGAGAGGAUGACCAGCCACACUGGGACUGAGACACGGCCCAAACUCCUACGGGAGGCAGCAGUAGGGAAUAUUGACAAUGGGCGCAAGCCUGAUCCAGCCAUGCCGCGUGAGUGAUGAAGGCCUUAGGGUUGUAAAGCUCUUUCGCACGCGAGGAUGAUGACGGUAGCGUGAGAAGAAGCCCCGGCUAACUUCGUGCCAGCAGCCGCGGUAAUACGAAGGGGGCUAGCGUUGUUCGGAAUUACUGGGCGUAAAGGGCGCGUAGGCGGUCGAUCGCGUUGGGUGUGAAAGCCCCGGGCUCAACCUGGGAUGGGCGCCCGA